rnacentral:lncRNA from 1 species
CGUCAUUUCCACGCAUAAUAAUAAUAUUCUAUCUCUAUACCUUCAAUCUCUAUAUCUAUAUUCUAUAUUAAAUAUUAAGUUAAUUUUCAUAUAGAUUUCUGCAAAUAUAGUGAAUUGCAAAUAUAUUUCUAUAAAAUUUUAAUUUUCAUAUGUUAUCUUUGCAAAAGUCUUAAUAUUUUCAAAUAUGUACCUCUGAUUUGCUAUCGUUAAAGCACUGUCUAUUUUAUAAGUGAAAUGACCUUUUUGUCAUUACAAAUAUAUUCCUUCAAAAGUCUCAACUGCUAAUUAAAGAAGAAUAAAAAGGUCAAUUCAUCUCAUGAACUAACCAUGGAUAAAUAUUUAACCUAUGGUUAACUAAAUUUUUCUAACGGACUCUAACGGUAGGGACAUAUUUGAAAACGGAAUCUAACGGUAGGGACAUAUUUGAAAAUAUCAGAACUUUUGUAGGGACAACAUAUAAAAAUUAAAUUUUUGAGAGAUAUAUUUAUAAUUUACUAUAUUUGUAGGGAUUUGUAUGCAAUUAAUUCUUAA